UACGAGAGGCCCAAACGUUAUUCGGAAUUACUGGGCUUAAAGAGUUCGUAGGCGGCAUGAAAAGCAGGGUGUGAAAGCCCUCGGCUCAACCGAGGAAUUGCGCUCUGAACUGUCGUGCUAGAGGAAUCUAGAGGUGAGCGGAACUGAUGGUGGAGCGGUGAAAUGCGUUGAUAUCAUCAGGAACACCGGAGGCGAAGGCGGCUCACUGGGGAUUUUCUGACGCUGAGGAACGAAAGCCAGGGGAGCGAACGGG
rnacentral:rRNA from 2 species